rfam:Oikopleura dioica, whole genome shotgun assembly, reference scaffold set, scaffold scaffold_9
GCUCCUGUGGCGCAAUUGGUUAGCGCGCUGUACUUAUAGACAUGAGAAAUGCGGAGGUUGUGAGUUCGAGCCUCACCAGGAGCA